rnacentral:rRNA from 1 species
AUUGAACGCUGGCGGCAGGCCUAACACAUGCAAGUCGAGCGGAGCGGCGGAAGGGUGAGUAAUGCCUAGGAAUCUGCCUGGUAGUGGGGGAUAACGUCAGGAAACGGGCGCUAAUACCGCAAACAAUAAGAUGAGACUAGGUCGGAUUAGCUAGUUGGUGGGGUAAAGGCCUACCAAGGCGACGAGCCGUAACUGGUCUGAGAGGAUGGUCAGUCACACUGCAACUGAGAACCGGUCCAGACUCUUACGUUGGGCAGCAGUGGGAAAUAUUGCACGAUGGGCGCAAGCCUGAUGCAGCCCUGCCGCGUGUAUGAAGAUGGCCUUCGGGUUGUAAAGUACUUUCAGCUGUGAGGCGUUACCCGCAGAAGAAGCACCGGCUAACUCCGUGCCAGCAGCCGCGGUAAUAC